UCAUAAAUCUAUUGAAUUUUACAAAUAAGUUUUUCUAUAAUACAAUAUAUUAUUCUUUUUACACAAUGCAAAUGUAUUAAGCAACUAGAACACUGGAUUCAAACCAGGUAAUAUAAAUGUUGUUUGUUGUACUCCUACUAGGUACUUGUUAGGCAUUUAUUUCUUUACCUGUACAAGAGGGACAAUAAUCUCACUGCAAGACAGUAAGUCACUGCCAAACCCCCAGGUGAAAGUCAUCCACCUUCAGAAAUACAUCUGCAUAUUACUUAGAAGUUAAGAAUACCUGAUCUUGUCCUGUUCUCUCAUUGUACAAAUAAAGAAAUUGAGGUUCAAGUUAUUGAUUUCCCA
rnacentral:lncRNA from 1 species